UCCUGCCGUCUAACCCCCACCUCCCGGCCCACCCUCGGCCAUUGAGUACUCCCAAGCUUAGCCAAUCCCAAUGGGCCACAUAGCAAAAGCAGGGCUUAACAAUAGAAGAACCAGAUACUUCUCAACAUCAUUGUUGACUUUCCAAAGCAUGGCCAGCUUUCUAGUUCUUGCCAACAUUUCAAGACUUUGUGUGGGGGUGUAAAAAUAUGCCCUUAAAAUGAAGUGAUGAUGGAACCACAAUUAAAAUGUUAAUCAUAUGAAAG